rnacentral:snoRNA from 1 species
UGCCCGGUCUUUGCCCCGGAUCAACUAUAAUAGUUAUGACGGUUUCCGACACGGGAAAAUAGUUUCUGAACAACGACGGUAAUUUCAGAGUUAGUUCUGAAUCUCCUGUCGAUGUGCAGUACAAUU